AUACCGCGAAACUGCGAAUGGCUCAUUAUAUAAGUUAUCGUUUAUUUGAUAGCACAUUACUACUUGGAUAACCGUGGUAAUUCUAGAGCUAAUACAUGCUAAAAAUCCCGACUUCGGAAGGGAUGUAUUUAUUAGAUUAAAAGCCAACGCCCUUCGGGGCUCUGUGGUGAUUCAUAAUAACUGGUCGAAUCGCAUGGCCUUGCGCCGGCGAUGGUUCAUUCAAAUUUCUUCCCUAUCAACUUUCGAUGCGAGGGUCUUGUCCUCGCAUGGUUGCAACGGGUAACGGAGGGUUAGGGCUCGACCCCGGAGAAGGAGCCUGAGAAACGGCUACUACAUCCAAGGAAGGCAGCAGGCGCGCAAAUUACCCAAUCCCGACACGGGGAGGUAGUGACAAUAAAUACUGAUACAGGGCUCUUUUGGGUCUUGUAAUCGGAAUGAGUACAAUUUAAAUCCCUUAACGAGGAACAAUUGGAGGGCAAGUCUGGUGCCAGCAGCCGCGGUAAUUCCAGCUCCAAUAGCGUAUAUUAAAGUUGUUGUGGUUAAAAAGCUCGUAGUCGAACCUUGGGCCUGGCUGGCCGGUCCCCCUCACCGGGUGCACUGAUCCAGCCGGGCCUUUCCCUCUGUGGAACCCCAUGGCCUUCACUGGCUGUGCGGGGGAAACAGGACUUUUACUGUGAAAAAAUUAGAGUGCUCCAGGCAGGCCUAUGCUCGAAUACAUUAGCAUGGAAUAAUAGAAUAGGACGUGUGGUUCUAUUUUGUUGGUUUCUAGGACCGCCGUAAUGAUUAAUAGGGACAGUCGGGGGCAUCAGUAUUCAGUUGUCAGAGGUGAAAUUCUUGGAUCUACUGAAGACUAACUACUGCGAAAGCAUUUGCCAAGGAUGUUUUCAUUGAUAAGGAACGAAAGUUAGGGGAUCGAAGACGAUCAGAUACCGUCGUAGUCUUAACUAUAAACUAUGCCGACAAGGGAUCGGACGAUGUUAUUAUUUGACGCGUUCGGCACCUUUCGAGAAAUCAAAGUGC
rnacentral:rRNA from 1 species